UACCUGCAGCUCAAGUGGUGAUCAUUAUUAUUGGGCCUAAAACGUCCGUAGCCGGUUUAGUAAAUGCCUGGGUAAAUCGUGUAGCUUAACUAUACGACUUCCGGGUAGACUGCUAAACUUGAGACCGGGAGAGGCUAGAGGUACUCCUGGGGUAGAGGUGAAAUUCUGUAAUCCUAGGGGGACCACCAGUGGCGAAGGCGUCUAGCUAGAACGGGUCUGACGGUGAGGGACGAAGCCCUGGGGCACAAACCGGAUUAGAUACCCGGGUAGUCCGGGGUGUAAACGCUGCUUGCUUGAUGUUAGUUGGGCUCCGAGCCCAACUAGUGUCGGAGAGAAGUUGUUAAGCAAGCUGCCUGGGAAGUACGGUCGCAAGGCUGAAACUUAAAGGAAUUGGCGGGGGAGCACCACAAGGCGUGAAGCUUGCGGUUC
rnacentral:rRNA from 1 species